UACGUAGGGGGCAAGCGUUGUCCGGAUUUAUUGGGCGUAAAGAGCGUGUAGGCGGCCAGACAGGUCCGUUGUGAAAACUCGAGGCUCAACCUCGAGACGCCGAUGGAAACCGUCUGGCUAGAGUCCGGAAGAGGAGAGUGGAAUUCCUGGUGUAGCGGUGAAAUGCGCAGAUAUCAGGAGGAACACCGGUGGCGAAGGCGGGUCUCUGGGCCGUAACUGACGCUGAGGAGCAAAAGCGUGGGGAGCGAACAGG
rnacentral:rRNA from 1 species